AGACGAAGUUAGAGGUUCGAAGGCGAUUAGAUACCGCCCUAGUUCUAACCAUAAACGAUGCCAGCUAGCGAUCUGAGGACGUUUUUUUUGUAGACUCCUCAGGAAGCUUCCGGGAAACCAAAGCGUGUGGGUUCCGGGGGAAGUAUGGUUGCAAAGCUGAAACUUAAAGGAAUUGACGGAAGGGCACCACCAGGAGUGGAGCAUGCGGCUUAAUUUGACUCAACACGGGAAAUCUCACCAGGCCCGGACACUGGAAGGAUUGACAGAUUGAGAGCUCUUUCUCGAUUCGGUGGGUGGUGGUGCAUGGCCGUUCUUAGUUGGUGGAGUGAUUUGUCUGGUUAAUUCCGAUAACGAACGAGACUCUGUCCUGCUAAAUAGUGUCAGCCUCUCUUUUGGGCUGACAAUUCUUCUUAGAGGGACUGGCGGCUCCUAGCCGCACGAGAUAGAGCAAUAACAGGUCUGUGAUGCCCUUAGAUGUUCUGGGCCGCACGCGCGCUACACUGAAUAGAUCAGCGUGUUCUCCCUUUCUGAGAAGAACGGGUAAACCGCUGAACCCUAUUCGUGGUAGGGAUCGGGGCUUGCAAUUAUUCCCCGUGAACCAGGAAUUCCCAGUAGGCGCGAGUCAUAAGCUCGCGUCGAUUACGUCCCUGCCCUUUGUACACACCGCCCGUCGCUACUACCGAUUGAAUGGCUA
rnacentral:rRNA from 1 species